rnacentral:misc_RNA from 1 species
GAUGAAGAACGUAGCGAAAUGCGAUACUUGGUGUGAAUUGCAGAAUCCCGUGAACCAUCGAGUCUUUGAACGCAAGUUGCGCCUGAAGCCAUUAGGCUGAAGGCACGUCUGCCUGGGUGUCACACGUCGUUGCCCCCCCAUCUACUCCUUCGGGAUUGCGGGGGGCGGAUGAUGGCCUCCCGUGCGCCUCGUCGCGCGGUUGGCAUAAAUGCCAAGUCCUCGGCGACGCACGCCACGACAAUCGGUGGUUGCGAAACCUCGGUUGCCCGUCGUGUGCGGUCGUCGCGCAUCGAGGGCUCGAAAAAAUUGCCGGGCUCCGGCUCGGCUUUCAACGCGACCCCAGGUCAGGCGGGGUUACCCGCUGAAUUUAAGCAUAUCAAUAAGCGGAGGA